GCUCUGCUCAAUUCGAGAUCUUGAUUCUGUCUUUUGCUGAUUUGGAUAUAAGCUGACUCAGUUGGUAGUUUGUAUUUGAAAUUUUAGCUAGUGAAAUUGGUUCAAUUGAAUCGGAAGCAAAUUUAGGUUUGGUAUUCAACAAAUGCCUUACAUUCGAAAUUUUAGCCUGUGAAAUAUAUACUGUCGUUUCUUUCUAUUGAAUUCUAACACAAUUUCAUGUGAUGGAUAGCUGCAUGGUUUUUUGAUUCUCUCGUCUCUUCUUCCGUGCCUUGUCUUAUUCUAAUGGAAUCAUAAGAUCUCUAUCUUGUGCUCAUAAGGUGUUAACCUAUAUCAAAGCUCAUUAAGCUCCUCAAUUGUCUAGUGCACUACUAUACACUGAAGUUUCUAGACACUACAUACUCUCCUGUAAUUCUCAAAUUAAACAGUUAAUGGCUUCUUUUUGCUUCCUUUUAUUCUUUGCUAUUAACAUAACAAACUGAUUGAUUGUUGCUUAAUAAUACAGAUUUUGUUUCAUUAUAUUAACAAGACAAUGCCUUCUCUAAAGUGCAUCCAAAUCAAUGAAAAGCAAUUGUUUCCCUCCAUAAAAAGAACGAGUUUGAGCUUACAUUGUUAGCUAAUUUUGAGUAUCCAUGUAUUAGCUUGAUUUUGAUUAGUAUUGUUGGGAAGUUGGGGUAUUUUAAACUUAAGAAAAUCUUAGUUAAUGUGAUGAAAAAUUAUUUAAUUGAUCUGGAUAUUAAUAAUUAAAUAUCCUUACAUAGAUCUCAUGUGGCUUGAUAAUAGUGAUAAGGAUGACAAUGAUGUUGCUGUUGAAGACUGAAUUAUGGUACCUUUUUUCCAUGUCGCAAAUAAUUCCUUCAACCUCACUUGCUCAAGUAACUAGGCCAAUGUGGAGGAGGAGUGGACUAAUACAUUCAAAAUAUAUAAAUUCCUUCUUUUCCGUAUGUUUAUUUUAUAUCAUUAACCUCAUUUAUAUGGAGUAGUGUUAAUGAGAAGAAAGAAGGAACAAGGAAAUGAUAAGGGAGGAUGGUAGAAAGAGGUUAUGAUAAGUAGAAGUAGGAGUGGGCUAAUAUAUGACAACCUACA